GUAGUCUGCAACUCGACUACAUGAAGCUGGAAUCGCUAGUAAUCGCGAAUCAGCAUGUCGCGGUGAAUACGUUCCCGGGUCUUGUACACACCGCCCGUCACACCAUGGGAGUCGGUAACGCCCGAAGUCAGUGACCCAACCGAGAGGAGGGAGCUGCCGAAGGCGGGACUGGUAACUGGGGUGAAGUCGUAACAAGGUAGC
rnacentral:rRNA from 1 species